UGGAGAAUCGUAUAACCAGAAGUCUACAAUUGUCGACAUACAUUUCUCAACUAGAUUGCAAAAAACUUUCAAAUGAUUCGGAUCCAAAGACAAUGGCCAUGGCAAAGUGUGAACAACACUCGGACUGAACUCAAGCUAAGGGUAUAAUCAAGGUAGAAAUAAUCUUGCUCAAUAAUGGAAAGGUAUGCAUAAGCAGUACCUACACCAGUUUUGUUGUGGAAACAAAAUUGAGAACAACAAGGUGGUGAAACAUACAGCAAGUAUUGUAGCACAAGGGUUCAUGCAGAUAUCGAACUAUUCUCCAGAGGUGGACUCUCCUUCCGAUAACUUAUAUCAUUGACAGUACAAAAUCAUCUAUCCCUGCAAUUGAUAGAUGUAGUGAUCACAUAUUCAUGUGGAUCACUAGAUUCAGACAUAUAUGAUUGAUUCCUGAUGGAAUCUCACUUUUGAAUCGAAAGGCAAAAUGCAACAUAUAUUGUGUAAAAAUCAGUAAGUCACCAUACGACUUAUUGUUGUCGAUACAUAUGGUACAACCAACGUAGAGAGUUCCUUAUGCCCAAGGAUUACUCCUACAAUGAUGAUUAUACAUGCUUAUGUGUACGCAUUGACGACACAUGCAAUCAUCUGAAUGACGGAGUUUAAAAUGAAGGAUUUGGAUAAACCAAAGUACCGCUUAGUACUACGACUUGAGCACCUUCAUUCAUACAUAAUGGUAUACUAUGUUGUAUAUAUCCAAAAUAUAUUGGAUAAAUUCAUUGUGGACAAAUAUUAUCCAUCCAUAACUCUCAUGGUAGUUCAUUCUCUAGAUGUAAAGAAAGAUCUAUUUAGACCAAGAGAUGAUGGAAUUAAGAUAGAUAUUGGGACUCAAUGUUCCAUAAUGCCAUUGGAUCCACCAAACACAAUUGGUUGGGACUCAAGAAUGUCUAUCGAUAUCUCCAAAGGCAUCAAACAUCUUGUCCUAGUUUUUCAAGUUUCAUAUAAAUCUUAAAACCAAUACCAUUGGAUACAUUGAUCAGAUCCCCGCUAUGUCAAAUCAUAUACAAGGUUAGUGUUCCUACUAGGUGCGGUAGCCCUCUCAUGAAGAGUCUUCGAAAUGGACCUCAUGGCUACAUCCACCAACCAUUAUCUCAAUGAUAAUGUUUCUUGUGUUUCCCGGAUGCGAACAGGUUACAUAAUAAGAAACAUCGCUAUAUUCAUAUAUUGCAAAUCAAAUCAUGUGACUGAUUUCCCUUGAAGUCUCUACCAAGUUUUACAUUUCAGAAAUAUGUUCUUGGAAUUGGUAUAUGACGGCUUCGAAAUUUGCAAGAAUCAGGGGGAGUAUCUUCUUGAAUUAUUCAUGUUCAAUGCAUCAUAUUAUACACUUUUUUCCUUCAUGAGUUUACUAUAGAGGUUCUUAUAAAGGUUUCUAAUGAGAUAAUAUCAACAUGAGAUCAUAUGUCAUACUUUCUGUUUUGCCCACCGGGGUAUUUAGGAAAGUAUAUACAACAUAUUUGUUGUCAUCUAAACUCAAUGAUUCUCACAUAUUGAGUUAAGGGAGACAACAACUAGUAUAUGUUGCGUCAUUUUCUCCUUAUUUUUUCCACUGGAUUUUGAAAGAGUUUUGGCAACAUAUCAAAUAUUAUACUCCUCACAUUUUUCCCACUGUGGUUUUGGAGGAGAUUUUAAGAUAACAAUGUCUACAAGGAUAGCAUAGAUUAGGGGUGCUGAGAUUUAAUUAACCCACAUGUUAACUAAGGAGAAUCUCCACUAUCUCUAACCGUCAUGCACAAGGGACGUGACUAUUCGCUCGUGUCCCUUCGGACCAUCGCGUCCGUUAAAUGCAUCCUCUUAGAGGCUAUAUAUACUUGUACUCAAUCAUUAAUAAAGACAACGAUUCACUUUACAUCUUUUGUAAUGUCUCUCAGUUCCUACUCUAAACACAUUAUCAACGCUUGUUGUUCUCCAAUCGAGCAAUGUAUAGGCUGCAUCCGACGGGGACAACCGAGGGCCUCGCCCCCAUCCGUGCUCCUUCAGGAGUGGAAUCAGAUUGUAGCGGGCAAAGGCCGACAAGCGAUCGCCCCUACCAAUGCGGCAACAGCGUGGCCUCGUUGUUUCACUGGAGCAUGGAUCGGCGGCGCCACGACUCCAGUCCUCCGGCUCCGGCAUGACUGAUUUCAUCACCGGGCAAAAAGGAAUCAAAAUCUAAGAAACAUCAGCCACCAUGACACUGUUCAUGGCAAGAGACACAAGUGUGUGUCAACAUGCACUCCUGCAUGAGAGGAAAUAAUAAUUUGAGCGCACGCUCAAGAAGCUAAAAAUUGACCACAAUUUUCAAACACCAAAGAUAAUCAGCGGAAAAAUGCAACGGAUUGAUCCUUGUUCAAUUUGUGUGGCCAGGAAUUGAAAAUGUUCAUAUCAUUCCAUCAACGAGACAUCGGCAGAGAAAAAGACGAACACAAAGAAGAAGAAACUCGGGAAUUGGCAUCCAUGAUCAGUUGAUUGAAAAUCCAAAAUCAAGAACCGUAAGCACCCAUAUGGUAUUUCUUCAAUUCGUAAUGUUCAUACCUUUAAAUUACAUCGACGCGGAACUGCACCUCGACACGGAUGCGCCUCCACGCACGAUGGAGGCGGCGCCUUCGGCACACAACCCUCCUCCGCCCUUCUCCUCUCUACGCGGCUCCCCGCGGAAGAUCCGCUACUGCAGCGGACGGUCGGCGGCGGGGCGUCACCCCCCUGCAGCGGAGGCACCCAUGGUUGCUCCAAUGUCUAACCGCACAGGAUAGAGAGAUGAUUGGGGAAAUCUUUAUCCCUUUGGUCAUUCUUGC
rnacentral:lncRNA from 1 species